rnacentral:rRNA from 12 species
GAUAGCGUCCGUUGUUGGAAGCUGAGCAGGGCUGUGCCUGAUUGGUACUUGGAUGGGAGACUAACCUGGAAGACCAGGGGCCGCUAUCC